AUUGAACGCUGGCGGCAGGCCUAACACAUGCAAGUCGAGCGGUAGAGAGAAGCUUGCUUCUCUUGAGAGCGGCGGACGGGUGAGUAAUGCCUAGGAAUCUGCCUGGUAGUGGGGGAUAACGUCCGGAAACGGACGCUAAUACCGCAUACGUCCUACGGGAGAAAGCAGGGGACCUUCGGGCCUUGCGCUAUCAGGUGAGC
rnacentral:rRNA from 1 species